GCAUAACGCGAAGAACCUUACCCACCUUUGACAUGUACGGAAUCCUUUAGAGAUAGAGGAGUGCUCGAAAGAGAACCGUAACACAGGUGCUGCAUGGCUGUCGUCAGCUCGUGUCGUGAGAUGUUGGGUUAAGUCCCGCAACGAGCGCAACCCUUGCCAUUAGUUGCUACGAAAGGGCACUCUAAUGGGACUGCCGGUGACAAACCGGAGGAAGGGUGGGGAUGACGUCAAGUCCUCAUCGGCCCUUAUAGGGUGGGGCUACACACGUCAUACAAUGGCUGGUACAGAGGGUUGCCAACCCGCGAGGGGGAGCUAAUCCCAUAAAGCCAGUCGUAGUCCGGAUCGCAGUCUGCAACUCGACUGCGUGAAGUCGGAAUCGCUAGUAAUCGCGGAUCAGAAUGCCGCGGUGAAUACGUUCCCGGGUCUUGUACACACCG
rnacentral:rRNA from 1 species